CGCGUAGGCGGCUCGGAAAGUCGGGCGUGAAAUGCCGGGGCUCAACCCCGGGACUGCGUCCGAUACUUCCGUGCUGGAGGUAGGUAGGGGAGAUCGGAAUUCCUGGUGUAGCGGUGAAAUGCGCAGAUAUCAGGAGGAACACCGGUGGCGAAGGCGGAUCUCUGGGCCUUACCUGACGCUGAGGCGCGAAAGCUAGGGGAGCGAACA
rnacentral:rRNA from 1 species